GGAAGUGAGGGAGGAAGUGAUGUAUUCCUUCUCAUCCUUUCCUCAUUCUCCUCUUAGCAAUGUGAGCCACGGAGGGAGGACAUUCCUCACUAUAAGCUCCCAACUUCAGACUCAUGUCAGAAACUACAUUGCUGCAUUUCUACCCAAUAAUAUUUUUGACUGCAUUUUCUAGUGUUGCUCAUAGGACAAUGCAUGAUUGAUAAUCCUGCAUUGCGGGGGGGGGGGGGGGUUGGACUAGAUGACCCCCUCCCAGCUGUACAAUUUCUAUGAGACCUUAAAUCUGCAAGUAAAUCAUUUUUAAACAUACUUCAGUGUGUGGUCUAUUCAUGCAGAAGGGGUAGAAGGAACCUGACACAGGAUAAAGAAAGGCUGACUAGCCUAUUCCUAUGCCUCACGAAACUGCCUGAUGAUGAGAAUUAAAUUCUGCUGGGGUGCAGAGAGUCUGCUAAGCUCCAUGCUUUGAAUACAGGCUUGCAGCCAUAUUCCUUUGCUCAUUGUUCCACACACAUGGGUCUACAGAGGAGGAACUAUAAUUAAUAGAUCUUCUUUCCAACUCCCAUCAGUUGGCCUAUGAGUUACAAGAUCAGACGGGCCUUUGGUCUGAACUCACAGAACCCUUCCAAAGUUUGUGUGUGGUUUUUAAAUUCCUUCAUUUUGUUUUAGCAACCCGCCUGCUGUCCUUGGCAAACUGAAGUUCAAGCUCUUUCAAACGUUACCUCUUCCUUUUCGUGCCAGUUGGACGUGGGGGCAAUGACUCGAGGUGAUGGAACAGGAAGCUCACCCAGCGCCCUGUGUUAAUGAAUUACAGAAUCCGAGGAUGGAAGCAAUAAUUUAUUCCCCUCAGAGCACCCCCUGCUCAGAUAGCGAGCCCCUGCCUUCACCCUAGCAAGAGGAUAUUCAGGACCCUCCGCCGAGCCACUAUGAAGUUAAUUGUCAUCACACUGGUCUUGUACCUCUUCACAGGCCAUCCGACUUUUGCCCAAACAGAUAAACGGGUCUCCAAGUUGGAGCAGUUAAAGCACGACUUCACUAAACUCCUGGGAAAGGUCAGCGAGAAAGCGUGGGAUAAAUUGAACUUUGUCAGAAGAUCGAGGCUCGGACAAGAACUGAGAAUCUUGUUUCGUGAUGAUGUUGCAAAACUGCGCAAAUACAUCCAGGACUUGCAGGCUGAGCUGCCACCCGAAAUCACACAGGCCUACCACGCGGCAGUUCAGUUGUCUGGGCACGCCCUGGUGGGCGCCAGCUGUAACCUAGCCGUAUUACGGUCUGCCACAGAAGAGCUCUACGAGGGGCUGGAAUCUCUAGUGACUUUCUACGCCAGCCCCGUCGCGGAGAAGUUGAGACCACACACGCAGGUCCUUAGAAAUAUGGUCGUCCCCAAGGUGCAGGAGCUGGAGGAGAAGCUGAAGCAGCAAGUGGAAGAAAAGGGGCCUGAGCUGAUCCCUUACGCGCGGAAGCUUCACCGCCAGUUGCACGAAUACCAGAGGUCCCUGGAGCCUUAUGCCAACCAGGCCCAGGAGAAGAUCAAGCUGGGCAUAGAGACAUUCAGCCAGACCAUGAAGCGCUACGUCACCCCACUUAUUGAGGCAAUCAAAAAACGCGUCACAGACUCUUAAGAGGUGGAGCUGACAUACCCCCAGUGCUUUCCCCAGAUCUCUGAAGCUUCUCAUAAGCAAUGGAGGGUGGAACCUUGGCCAAACUCUUUGAAACAGAAAGGGUCAAAAAAAGGGAAGCGACUGGAUUGAGUGUUCUCAGCAAUUUGGGGUGGGGAGCAGAGGCUGUUGGUGAUAUCUUCCCUCCCCCAAACCGUGUAAUAAAGGAGCUGUCCCUAAUGAUGCUGGUUUAGGGCUGUGUUUAUGUCUUAAUGUUUUCUGAAAAUAAUCUUAUUGCAUUUGUAUAUAAUAAUAUAAAUGGAGAAAAUGUUGUUACUUGUUAUAAUAUAAAAUCAUAUUAUAAUAUAAUCAGGCUCAGCGAUGCAUGUAAAGUUCAAUAAAAUGGUCUUAAUCCAGACUACUUAGCCCUAAGUAUGUCUUGGUGGGCUAUGGCUAUUUUGUUCUUAAGAGGCAAAGGUAAUGAAGAUGCACUGUGUAUCUUGAAAUUUGUCCAAUCCAGACCCUUUCCUCAGGAUUCUCAAGUUUAUGAAUUAACUUUUCCUUUAGUGUUGUGUUCCAGACCUCUUGAAAAAGGUAAGUUGAAGACUAUUUCCAAUUUUUGGCAAUCGCAAAGGCAUGCUACAACAAGAAGGAAAGCCACAGGCUAUUUGUGUGAUACAUUUCUUGGUUGUUCAUCACAGAUUAAGUGAGAAGAUGAAUAGUGGAUCAAGGAUUAAAGCCUGGGAAGCGAUUUUACAAAUCUCUUGAAAAACUGACAUCCCACCCCCAACAAUG
ensembl:lncRNA